UUCCAAAUCCAACACAAUCCAAUCUUCCAUGUACCUUUCCUCAUCUGUCUUGUUUCCAAACCUAUUUGUUUCUCCAUCCUUUUUCCAGAACCCAACUCAACUUUGACCUCAUGUUCUCUUUCUCUCUCCUUAUUUUCUCUCUCCAAAUUUAUUAUAGAUUCCACCAUCACAUUACUAUUAGUACCAACCAACACUCACUUCCAACAUACUCUCUCUCUUAGAAAAUAUAACAACAAGACAAAGCAACCCAUCAGAUCUCUUCUCUCAUGCUGCUACAUCAACAAACACACGCAACGGCGUCGUAUGUAA